GCAGCUGUCACCGCCGCUGUCACCUCUGCUUCUCCCUCUAGUUAGGAAGAUGACUGUGGGGAGGACUGCGGGAGGCCCCGAGUGCGCCGAGUGGAGCCGUGAGAUAUUUCCCCCCAAAUCAUCCUCCUCAGACACCGAGCUGGAAGAUGAGCCAUUUGGAGAAGGGCUGGUUUUGCCCAGAGCUGGCAAACUCCAUGAGUUCCUCAGCCCAGAGGAGGAGACGGAUUCUACUUCUGACUCCACAGGGAGCUUUCACAGAACCAUCCAGGUUCCGAGGCAGAGAGGGAGGUGGGAUCUCCUGGAGAGUCUCUUUCAGUCUGAUCUAGACAGUGAUCAGAAUGGCUCU
rnacentral:lncRNA from 1 species